GACAGAGGGUGCGAACGUUGUUCGGAAUUACUGGGCGUAAAGCGCGUGUAGGCGGCAGCGUAAGUCGGGCGUGAAAUCCCACGGCUCAACCGUGGAAGUGCACUCGAAACUGCGCAGCUAGAGUCCUGGAGAGGAAGGUGGAAUGCUUGGUGUAGAGGUGAAAUUCGUAGAUAUCAAGCGGAACACCGGUGGCGAAGGCGGCCUUCUGGACAGUGACUGACGCUGAGACGCGAAGGCCAGGGGAGCAAACGGG
rnacentral:rRNA from 1 species